rnacentral:rRNA from 1 species
UUUCGAGGGCGAAAUCCUAGAGGCCUAGCCUCGGCGUACCGCUCAGUAACACGUGGGUAACCUACCCUAUGCUGGGGAAUAAGCUCGGGAAACUGAGAAUAAUACCCCAUAGUCCACUACGCCUGGAACGGUGAGUGGAUCAAAGCUCCGGCGGCAUAGGAUGGGCCUGCGGCGUAUCAGGUUGUAGGGGGUGUAAUGUACCCUCUAGCCAUCUACGCGUACGGGUGUUGGGAGACAUUGCCCGGAGAUGGAUUCUGAGACACGAAUCCAGACCCUACGGGGUGCAGCAGGCGCGAAAACUUGGCAAUGCGAGAAAUCGUGACCAGGGAACUCCAAGUGGCAGGGGUAAGACCCUGUCUUUUUCCGACUCUAAAUAGGUCGGCGAAUAAGGGGUGGGUAAGGACGGUGCCAGCCGCCGCGGUAAUACCGGCGCCUCAAGUGGUAGUCGCUCUUAUUGGGCCUAAAACGUCCGUAGCCGGUCUGGUACAUUCGUGGGUAAAUCAACUCGCUCAACGAGUUGAAUUCUGCGAGGACGGCCAGACUUGGGACCGGGAGAGGUGUGGGGUACUCUCAGGGUAGGGGUAAAAUCCUGUCAUCCUGAGAGGACCACCUGUUGCGAAGGCUCCACACUAGAACGGAUCCGACGGUCAGGG